rnacentral:misc_RNA from 1 species
GAUGAAGAACGCAGCGAAAUGCGAUAAGUAAUGUGAAUUGCAGAAUUCAGUGAAUCAUCGAAUCUUUGAACGCACCUUGCGCCCCUUGGUUAUUCCAAAGGGCAUGCCUGUUUGAGUAUCAUGAACACCUCAACUCUUGUGGUUUCCCACAAUGAGCUUGGACUGUGGAGGUUUUGUUGGCCCUGUGGUCAGCUCCUCUCAAAUGGAUCAGCUUACCGGUGUUUGGUGGCAUUACGGGUGUGAUAACUAUCUACGCUCGUGGUCGUCUCCAAAUAACCUCCAGUGAUGGAGGUUCGCUGGAGCUUAUAAAUGUCUCUCCCCACUGAAGACAGCCUUUGAACGUUCGAUCUCAAAUCAGGUAGGACUACCCGCUGAACUUAAGCAUAUCAAUAAGCGGAGGA